rnacentral:rRNA from 1 species
AUUGAACGCUGGCGGCAGGCCCAACACAUGCAAGUCGAACGAGUGGCGGACGGGUGAGUAAUGUCUGGGAACCUGCCUGAUGGAGGGGGAUAACUACUGGAAACGGUAGCUAAUACCGCAUACUAUCGGAUGUGCCCAUAUGGGAUUAGCUAGUAGGUGGGGUAAUGGCUCACCUAGGCGACGAUCCCUAGCUGGUCUGAGAGGAUGACCAGCCACACUGGAACUGAGAAACGGUCCAGAGUCCUACGGGAGGCAGCAGUGGGGAAUAUUGCACAAUGGGCGAAAGCCUGAGUCAGCCAUGCCGCGUGUGUGAAGAAGGCCUUCGGGUUGUAAAGCACUUUCGGCGGGGAGGCGUUACUCGCAGAAGAAGCACCGGCUAACUCCGUGCCAGCAGCCGCGGUAAUAC